rnacentral:rRNA from 1 species
AGGCUUUGAUCCUGGCUCAGGAUGAACGCUGGCGGCGUGCUUAACACAUGCAAGUCGAACGGGAUGCUUUCAGGCAUCUAGUGGCGGACGGGUGAGUAACGCGUGAGAAUCUGCCCUUAGGCGGGGGACAACAUUGGGAAACUGAUGCUAAUACCCCAUAUGGCGAGAGCUGAAAGAUUAAUUGCCUGAGGAUGAGCUCGCGUCUGAUUAGCUAGUUGGUGGAGUAAAGGUUUACCAAGGCGAUGAUCAGUAGCUGUUCUGAGAGGAUGAUCAGCCACACUGGGACUGAGACACGGCCCAGACUCCUACGGGAGGCAGCAGUGGGGAAUUUUCCGCAAUGGGCGAAAGCCUGACGGAGCAACGCCGCGUGAGGGAAGAAGGUCUGUGGAUUGUAAACCUCUUUUCUAUGGGAAGAAGUACUGACGGUACCAUAGGAAUCAGCAUCGGCUACAUCCGUGC